rnacentral:Y_RNA from 1 species
GGUGCUACUGCAAUGUGAUUUGCAGCUAAUUGGUGGCAACCAGUUACAGAUUCCUUUGUUCCUUCUCCACUCCCACUGCUUCAGUUGACUAGCCUUAA